rnacentral:rRNA from 1 species
GUAAGGGAUAUUGCGCAAUGGGCGAAAGCCUGACGCAGCAACGCCGCGUGCGCGAAGAAGGCCUUCGGGUUGUAAAGCGCUUUUCUGGCAGAAGAGGAAGGACAGUAGGCCAGGAAGAAGAGUCGGCUAACUACGUGCCAGCAGCCGCGGUAAAACGUAGGACUCGAGCGUUAUCCGGAGUUACUGGGCGUAAAGCGCGGGCAGGCGGGUGACCAAGUCGGACGUGAAAGCUCCGGGCUUAACCGGGAGAGGCCGUUCGAGACUGGGCACCUGGAGGGCAGUAGAGGGGCGUGGAAUUCCGGGUGGAGUAGUGAAAUGCGUAGAGAUCCGGAGGAACACCAGAGGCGAAGGCGGCGCCCUGGGCUGCACCUGACGCUGAACCGCGAAAGCCAGGGGAGCGAACGGGAUUAGAUACCCUAGUAGUCC